ensembl:lncRNA
GAAUUGGGGGAGUGGCCUUGCCAUUGGGCGUAAUUACCAAAAUCUGCGAUAAGAAAGGUCUCUGUGGCGCAAUUGGUCAGCGCGUUCGGCUGUUAACUGAAAGGUUGGUGGUUCAACCCCACCCAGGGACGUUUUGAGAUUGUAAAGAAAUGCAGACGUAACAUAAUUUGUGAAAAUGCUUUAUUUCUUAAUGAAUUGGGGGAGUCGCCUUGCCGUUGGGCGUAAUUACCCAAAUCGGCGAUCAGAAAGGUCUCUGUGGCGCAAUUGGUCAGCGCGUUCGGCUGUUAACCGAAAGGUUGGUGGUUCAAGCCCACCCAGGGACGUUUUGAGAUUGUAAAGAAAUACAGACUUAACAUAAUUUAUAAAGACACUUUAUUUCUUAAUGAAUUGGGGGAGUGGCCUUGCCAUUGGGCGUAAUUACCCAAAUCGGCUGUCAGAAAGGUCUCUGUGGCGCAAUUGGUCAGCGCGUUCGGCUGUUAACUGAAAGGUUGGUGGUUCAACCCCACCCAGGGACU